rnacentral:rRNA from 1 species
UACGGGGGGGGCAAGCGUUGUUCGGAAUUACUGGGCGUAAAGGGUGCGUAGGCGGCUUUUUAAGUCGGAUGUGAAAACUCUGGGCUCAACCCAGAGACUGCGUCCGAAACUGGAGAGCUAGGGUUCUGGAGGGGAAAGCGGAAUUCCUGGUGUAGCAGUGAAAUGCGUAGAUAUCAGGAGGAACACCGGUGGCGAAGGCGGCUUUCUGGACCGGCAUUGACGCUGAGGAGCGAAAGCCAGGGGAGCAAACGGG